UUUAUAUACAAAAACCCUGACAGGCGGCACAAUAGAUCAGCGUCUGCCCUGGUUAUCUUCCCCUUGACCCAUAAUGCUCCGAGUUGUUCACCUUGUCUCCUCUUUCUCAAUGAAUUAUCAUGAGAACAUUUCUCCUUCUUUCUUGUCUCUUGAACAUUUUCCUUGUUUCUUUGAUCUGAAAAAAAAAAGAGUAAAUGAAGAGAUCGAUUCUUUCGCUUCCAUAGUUUGGGCUUUUAAAUCUUGUGUCCCGGGUGGCAGCUGCUGUAAGGAUCUCUCAUGUCUGCUGGUAGCCCUUGUAGUCUGGAUAGAGAGAGAAUGAUGAAAGAGCUGAAAGCAGAGAAGCUGGAAGAAAUGGCCGCUGCUUAUUAGAGAUAACAAUGUGAUAUGGGAACUCGCUGGAACAAACAUUUCAGAAGUGGUGUACUCCCGGAUCCUAUUAGGUGGAGGCACUGCCAAGAGAAAAAUUCCCAGUACCCGUUCACCUUGCAAAGGGGACUCAGGACCUGCACUGGUAUUUGGUAAGACGAUAAAACCUUGGCACAAGGGGGAUCGCCAAGAGGAUGUUACACUACUUAAAAAACUUUUUGGGAAGUGAGUGAUGUUUCUGCAGCCGACACAAGGGGAUUCCGGCCUCACACACUGAAACCCCAACAAUAUAUCCGGCUUCCUAGUUCCAGUACAAUACCUUUCCCUGAUUUAGGGACGUCACGUUCAAAGGAUUCGAGAUCUCCCACAAGCAUUGAGACGAUCUGCGAGAGGAUCGCCCGAAGCCACGUUAGUUCCACUUUGAUUAAUUAGUAACAAACAGACCCAAUAUAAAAUGCAAACAACAGAGAGAGACGUAUGAGAAUCGAGCCGGCGAUGCCCUACAGACAAUUACCCUGAUAAAAACAGAAUUAAAAGGUUAAUAAAUGAAUAAAAGUCUCCCCAUAAAUAUGAUUAAAGAUAAGGCUGUGAAAUAAUUAGGAAUGUUUAAUUGUAAGAGGCUCAGCUAAUUAACAGUACAAGUUGCCCUUGGCACUCAGGAUCACUUGUUUUAUAUUGA